CUCGUGGAGCGGAUGCAKUUAUUUGCCCAAAACCAAUCCGGCUUUCGAGUCGGUCAAUUGGUGACUCUGAAUAACCGAAGCGGAGCGCAUGGUCUCGUACCGGCGCCAGAUCUUUCAAGUGUCUGACUUAUCAGCUUGUUGUUAGGUUAUGUUCCUAACAAGGCAUCAACGGGUAACGGAGUGUCAGGGCCCGACACCGGAGAGGGAGCCWGAGAAACGGCUACCACAUCCAAGGAAGGCAGCAGGCWCGCAAAUUACCCACUCCCGGCASGGGGAGGUAKUGACGAAAAAUAACGAUGCGAGAGCUUUAUGCUCCUCGUAAUCGGAAUGGGUACACUUUAAAUCCUUUAACGAGGYUCUAUUGRAGGGCAAGUCUGGUGCCAGCAGCCGCGGUAAUUCCAGCUCCAAUAGCGUAUAUUAAAGUUGCUGCGGUUAAAAAGCUCGUAGUUGGAUCUGGGUAGUCGAUGGACGGUGCGCUUUACGGCGUCYACUGUUCGUUCGGCACCAC
rnacentral:rRNA from 1 species